GAUGAACGCUAGCGGCAGGCCUAAUACAUGCAAGUCGGACGGGAUUCAGGAGCUUGCUUCUGAUGAGAGUGGCGCACGGGUGCGUAACACGUAUGUAACCUACCUUUAUCAGGGGGAUAGCCUCUCGAAAGAGAGAUUAAGCCCGCAUAAAAUCACAGCACAGCAUUGUGUAAUGAUCAAAUAUUUAUAGGAUAAAGAUGGGCAUGCGGAACAUUAGCUAGAUGGCGGGGUAACGGCCCACCAUGGCGACGAUGUUUAGGGGAUCUGAGAGGAUGGCCCCCCACACUGGUACUGAGACACGGACCAGACUCCUACGGGAGGCAGCAGUAAGGAAUAUUGGUCAAUGGGCGGAAGCCUGAACCAGCCAUGCCGCGUGCAGGAAGACGGCCCUACGGGUUGUAAACUGCUUUUAUCCGGGAAUAAACCCAGAUACGUGUAUCUGGCUGAAUGUACUGUAAGAAUAAGGAUCGGCUAACUCCGUG
rnacentral:rRNA from 1 species